rnacentral:tRNA from 1 species
AUGGGUGUAGCUCAGAGGUAGAGCACUCAACUAGAGUGCAUAAGGCUCUGGGUUCCAUUCCCAGUACCAUUA